rnacentral:rRNA from 1 species
AAACUCAAAUGAAUUGACGGGGACCCGCACAAGCGGUGGAUGAUGUGGUUUAAUUCGAUGCAACGCGAAAAACCUUACCCACCUUUGACAUGUACGGAAUUUGCCAGAGAUGGCUUAGUGCUCGAAAGAGAACCGUAACACAGGUGCUGCAUGGCUGUCGUCAGCUCGUGUCGUGAGAUGUUGGGUUAAGUCCCGCAACGAGCGCAACCCUUGUCAUUAGUUGCUACGAAAGGGCACUCUAAUGAGACUGCCGGUGACAAACCGGAGGAAGGUGGGGAUGACGUCAAGUCCUCAUGGCCCUUAUAGGUGGGGCUACACACGUCAUACAAUGGCUGGUACAGAGGGUUGCCAACCCGCGAGGGGGAGCUAAUCCCAUAAAACCAGUCGUAGUCCGGAUCGCAGUCUGCAACUCGACUGCGUGAAGUCGGAAUCGCUAGUAAUCGCGGAUCAGAAUGUCGCGGUGAAUACGUUCCCGGGUCUUGUACACACCGCCCGUCACACCAUGGGAGCGGGUUCUGCCAGAAGUAGUUAGCCUAACCGCAAGGAGGGCGAUUACCACGGCAGGGUUCGUGACUGGGGUGAAGUCGUAACAAGGUAGCCGUAUCGGAAGGUGCGGCUGGAUCACCUCCUUUCUG